rnacentral:rRNA from 1 species
UACGUAGGGUGCGAGCGUUGUCCGGCAUUAUUGGGCGUAAAGGGCUCGUAGGCGGUCUGUUGCGUCAGGAGUGAAAACUCGGGGCUUAACCCCGAGCCUGCUUCUGAUACGGGCAGACUAGAGGUAUGCAGGGGAGAACGGAAUUCCUGGUGUAGCGGUGAAAUGCGCAGAUAUCAGGAGGAACACCGGUGGCGAAGGCGGUUCUCUGGGCAUUACCUGACGCUGAGGAGCGAAAGUGUGGGGAGCGAACAGG